rnacentral:rRNA from 1 species
UUUUGGACAAUGGGCGAAAGCCUGAUCCAGCAAUGCCGCGUGUGGGAAGAAGGCCUUCGGGUUGUAAACCACUUUUGUACGGAACGAAAAGGUCUGCCCUAAUACGGUGGGCCCAUGACGGUACCGUAAGAAUAAGCACCGGCUAACUACGUGCCAGCAGCCGCGGUAAUACGUAGGGUGCGAGCGUUAAUCGGAAUUACUGGGCGUAAAGCGUGCGCAGGCGGUUAUAUAAGACAGUUGUGAAAUCCCCGGGCUCAACCUGGGGAUUGCAUCUGUGACUGUAUAGCUAGAGUACGGUAGAGGGGGAUGGGAUUCCGCGUGUAGCAGUGAAAUGCGUAGAUAUGCGGAGGAACACCGAUGGCGAAGGCAAUCCCCUGGACCUGUACUGACGCUCAUGCACGAG